UGCUCCUGUUAACAAUUUCAUGAAAUCCCAGUUAAAAUGGCCGCCAAGAAAGGAGACAGAAAUAGUAUGUCUGCUCCUUUCUAGUGUCCGGAGUAGCCGAAGCGCGGAGCUCACAUGUAUAUACGUGAUUUGCGCAUAUGUGCGGUAUUCCCUCCCUCAUGCUGCCUGCUGCUUGCGUCUCAAAUCUGGCGUUAUUGCACUGCGUUGCCUCAGAAACAGCUGUUUAUAAAUGGCGCAUCUUUUUAAUUUUCUUCAAAUGCAUUCACGAGAGAAUUUACAAGACAGGAUUUUGCGAGAAUGGACGAGGACAUCGCGGAAAAUGCAUCGCUCGACAAAACAGCGCGAAAGCUUACCGAUGAUAUACAGAACAUGUCGAAUUAUAAAGCGCUUUAUAACGAAAUACAGAGACUCGUCGCAUCGCCCGUUGUGGAUAAAGAUGAUUUCAAAAACUCAUUGGUCACAGCAUUGAAAAAUAAUGGCCUGGAAACGGAAAUCAGAAACACUGUAUUUCAUUGGGCACGAUCAAGGAGCUCACUGCAUUCGCGAUCAGUUCCGCAUAUUCAGAUAACAGAUUUGAGUUACUUGAAAAAGACUCAAAUUCAAUGGGAACGACGUAUACAAAAAUCAUUGAACUCUACAUGCAAUGAACUAAACAUUCCACUGGCUCGAAUAAGACCUACUUCUGAUAGAGAAGAAUUAGCUGAAAAAUGGAAUGAAUUAAGUACUUACGACAUCGAUUUAUCACAGUAUCGGCCAUUGUAUGCACCAAAGGACUUCCUGGAUGUGCUGUUCUCAAUACGUGAUCCUUCCUUUAAAAAGCAAUUAGAUGAACUGAAUUGGGAUUUUAGUCACAUACAAAUUAGUGUAAAAACACUUGCACAAUUGAGACGUAUGUAUUUGGAAUUGGCACAGGGUGUGCCAUUACUUGGAGUAAAUCCUGAUAUGCCAGCUAUAGAAAAUUUUCCAAAUUUAGAAGUCGAGCGAACAUACAUUGGCGAAAAAGUAUUAAACUCAAAUCAUGCUCCAAUUGCUCAAGAAUUCCUUAAAAAGGGAUCUCCUCGAGCGUUACGUGGUCGUCUUUGGUCACUCGUUCUCGGAUCUGUUAUCAAAGAUAAUGAUGUAGAAUAUUAUGAAGAAUUGAAAAAUUUGGUUUUGCAAUAUGAUAUUGUAGUGGACAAAUUGAUAAUAAUGGAUGUACAGUUAACAGCAAGAAAUGACGAUCAGUAUUUUGUGUUUGAAGAUAUCUUGUAUAAGACAAUGUUAUGCUUUUCAAGAGAUUCCGAAAUACUUGCACCAGUCACGACCGACAGAAGUGCUGGUGGUCAAGUAAUUCAUGCGGUUUUGCAAGGCAAACCAGCAACAUUAGAAAAUACCUUAGUUUUUCCACCGAGUGGCGUUAUUCCAUUUCAUGGAUUCACAAUGUAUGCCACACCAUUUUGUUAUUUAUAUGACGAUCCCUGUGCAAUGUAUUAUACUUUUCGUGCAUUCUAUCUGAGAUACUGGUUUCGUUUGCACACUGUAUCAAGUCAUGAACAGGGUAUAGUUGCUCUUUGUUUACUCUUUGAACGAUUGUUACAAUGCCAUGAACCGCAACUGUGGGCUCAUUUUAAAAAUAUACACAUUCAACCCAUAAGAAUAGUUUUCAAAUGGCUCAUGAGGGGUUUUAGUGGUCAUUUACCACCUGAACAAUUAUUAUACCUUUGGGAUCUAAUUCUGGGAUAUGACUCUUUGGAAAUUAUUCCCUUAUUGGCAGUGACAAUAUUGAGUUUUCGGAAAGAAAAUUUACUGCAAGUUAAUACUCAACAAAAUGUAGAGGCUGUAUUAGCAGAUUUAUCUUCGUUAAAAGUGAUGCCUCUACUACAGCUAGCUCUUCUAAAGGAAUAAUAUCAAUUUUAUUAGGCAUGAAUUUAUUGCCACAGAAUUGUAAAUCUUUUUAAGUGUACAUUAUUUCUUUAAUUUCAUGGAUUUUAUUCAGCGAUUUUAUUUUCAAAGGAAAAUUUUACAGUGUUAGAAAACAGCUUUCCAUAGUAAGCAAAUUAUUCAACAGUUGCGCAACCGUUGACGUAGCCAAUGUUAUCACGGAGAAGGGAUAAAGCGCGGCGCCUCAGAAGAAGGUGGAAGGGGAUUCUCCUACACAGUAUGUAUGUCCUGUUUCCGGCUGUCAACCGUAGAGCUUGGUAGAACAGCGACGUACAGCAGGGACGCUUGAUUUGCUGUCUUUUCGUUGCGUUUUAUCGCCGCUACGUUUCCAAAGUCUGGAGCAAAAGCAUACGUGAAUGCACCUCGAUUUGCGAAUC
rnacentral:misc_RNA from 1 species